rnacentral:rRNA from 1 species
CCUACGGGUGGCAGCAGUGAGGAAUAUUGGUCAAUGGACGAGAGCCUGAACCAGCCAAGUAGCGUGAAGGAUGACUGCCCUAUGGGUUGUAAACUUCUUUUAUAUGGGAAUAAAAUGUUCCACGUGUGGGAUUUUGUAUGUACCAUAUGAAUAAGGAUCGGCUAACUCCGUGCCAGCAGCCGCGGUAAUACGGAGGAUCCGAGCGUUAUCCGGAUUUAUUGGGUUUAAAGGGAGCGUAGGUGGAUUGUUAAGUCAGUUGUGAAAGUUUGCGGCUCAACCGUAAAAUUGCAGUUGAAACUGGCAGUCUUGAGUACAGGAGAGGUAAGCGGAAUUCGUGGUGUAGCGGUGAAAUGCUUAGAUAUCACGAAGAACUCCGAUUGCGAAGGCAGCUCACUGGACUGCAACUGACGCUGAGGCUCGAAAGUGUGGGUAUCAAACAGGAUUAGAUACCCCUGUAGUC